ACUGCAGACUGUAGAGUGUGUCAUUUUUGUUUUACUAUUGCCAUUGGCAUUUGCAAAUUUAACUUGAUUCCAAGGUGACGGAGCGUAUUGCGUGUAAGGAUUCAGAGUAUAGACCAUGGUUGAAUCUUUUUCGUUAUCAUAACACACAUAGUACAAUAUUAAAAUAUCGAAACUUCCAAGGAAUGCAAAGCUCCACUAGCGUUUUUAUCAUGCGUCCCUUCAGAAAUGUUAAGAAUAAAAAUUGGCGACUUUAUGUUCCAGAUUGUUGAGCCCAUGAACCCAUAGAUGAGUGGUACCAGUUUCUGCAGAGAUUCAAAUCUAAAUAUGUACACGCAUAAAAGAAGUUGUUGUGAAAACAUAAGACAUGUCGUGGUAACAAAUGAAUAUGUCAACAUAGGGAUAACUAAUCAUAUGUUAUGAUAACAAACUAUAGUGGAUAUAUAAUAUUUAUCGAUAAAGAAGUCAGAAUUUAGGGCCAGUUUUUCAAUCAAUGAUUUCGCUAAAACAGUGAUUUCAAAAUUGCCAACUUAAGAAAAUAAAUCACUAAUACUCUGAACUCGUAUAUUAAAAUUAUAAGAGUGUAUAUUCAAGUAGGUAUGUUUACGAAAAUAACAUCAAAAUAAGAAAAGGCAAUGGAUCGUUGCUUGUUAUUGUUUAAAACAAAAAAGAGGAUAUUCAACAGAAUACUGUAUUCUGCACAAUCAAGUAAUCGAACAAAAAUGGAUAAGUUUACUCGUGAAAUUGAUUUUAAAAUCCUCAACGAAAGAUUCAUUGCAAGCGAACAUUUAUUUGUCACCGAUGAUUGGGAAGAUUUAAGUUAUACCAGUCAUUACGGAUUAUU
rnacentral:lncRNA from 1 species